rnacentral:rRNA from 1 species
UACGGGGGGGGCAAGCGUUGUUCGGAAUUACUGGGCGUAAAGGGCUUGUAGGUGGCCAACUAAGUCAGACGUGAAAUCCCUCGGCUUAACCUGGGAACUGCGUCUGAUACUGGAUGGCUUGAGUGUGGGAGAGGGAUGUGGAAUUCCAGGUGUAGCGGUGAAAUGCGUAGAUAUCAGGAGGAACACCGGUGGUGUAGACGGCUUUCUGGACCGUAACUGACGCUGAGACACGAAAGCGUGGGUAGCAAACAGG